rnacentral:rRNA from 1 species
GUCGAGAAUCUUUCACAAUGGGGGCAACCCUGAUGGAGCGACGCCGCGUGGAGGAUAAGGUCUUCGGAUUGUAAACUCCUGUCAUGCGUGAACAAGGUUGCUUGGUUAAUACCUGGGCAAAUUGAUGGUAACGCAAGAGGAAGAGACGGCUAACUCUGUGCCAGCAGCCGCGGUAAUACAGAGGUCUCAAGCGUUGUUCGGAAUCACUGGGCGUAAAGGGUGCGUAGGUGGCGUGGUAAGUCAGAUGUGAAAGCCCGGGGCUCAACCUCGGAACUGCAUCCGAUACUGCCAUGCUAGAGUACGGGAGAGGUGACUAGAAUUCUCGGUGUAGCAGUGAAAUGCGUAGAUAUCGAGAGGAAUACCAAAGGCGUAGGCAGGUCACUGGACAGUUACUGACACUGAGGCACGAAGGCCAGGGGAGCGAACGGGAUUAGAUACCCGAGUAGUCC